UUCAUCAGCAAGUGAAAGAAAAACUGGCUCGGCAAGCUCAGUCCACACUCCGCACUCCACUACGAUAGUACGAUGGCGAGAGCGCCGCGACCUCGUCUUCGAGUCUGAGCCACCUAUGGUGCCGCCGUGAACCACCGCCCCCGGUGCGGCCGGAGCUUCGCCGGUGGAAUUCUGCGCCGCGCCUCCCUCGUAGCCCGACUCGCCCGCGCGGGACUCUGGUCGGUCUCCGGCUUCAAACCCUAGCUGCUGGCUGCUGCUAGUACGAAGGCUGCGGCUUCAAACCUUUGCCAUCGCCCUCUCUGGUUGGCAAUAGAGCCAUGGCCAGGGGAAAGCAGCAGCAGAAGAAGACAUUGGAUCAGUCGAGAUAUCCUGAAAUUAAGAAGCAGAAGCAAUGUAACCCAUAUGUUGCUGCUAGAUCUAUCUCUUGCGACUGCAAUUUUUGGGACACGAGGCAAAAAGAUCUAUAUGAUCAGAUCUAUCGUGAAAAGAAAGUUUUUUAGCACAGAUUUGUGGAGUGGUCAGAUAUAGCUGAUGCUGAAACA